rnacentral:rRNA from 1 species
CUACGGGGUGCACCAGUGGGGAAUAUUGGACAAUGGGGGAAACCCUGAUCUAGCCAUGCCGCGUGAGUGAUGAAGGCCUUAGGGUUGUAAAGCUCUUUCGCUGGGGAAGAUAAUGACGGUACCCAGUAAAGAAACCCCGGCUAACUCCGUGCCAGCAGCCGCGGUAAUACGGAGGGGGUUAGCGUUGUUCGGAAUUACUGGGCGUAAAGCGCGCGUAGGCGGGCUAUUAAGUAAGGGGUGAAAUCCCGGGGCUCAACCCCGGAACUGCCUUUGAUACUGGUAGUCUUGAGUUCGAGAGAGGUGAGUGGAAUUCCGAGUGUAGAGGUGAAAUUCGUAGAUAUUCGGAGGAACAUCAGUGGCGAAGGCGACUCACUGGCUCGAUACUGACGCUGAGGUGCGAAAGUGUGGGGAGCAAACAGGAUUAGAUACCCUAGUAGUC